rnacentral:rRNA from 1 species
CCUACGGGGUGCAGCAGUGGGGGAUAUUGCACAAUGGGGGAAACCCUGAUGCAGCGACGCCGCGUGGGUGAAGAAGCGCCUCGGCGCGUACAGCCCUGUCAGCAGGGAAGAAAAUGACGGUACCUGAAGACUAAGCCCCGGCUACCUACGUUCCAGCCGCCGCGGUAAUACGUAGGGGGCAAGCGUUAUCCGGAUUUACUGGGUGUAAAGGGGGCGCAGACGGCGAUGCAAGCCAGGAGUGAAAGCCCGGGGCCCAACCCCGGGACUGCUCUUGGAACUGCGUGGCUAGAGUGCAGGAGGGGCAGGCGGAAUUCCUGGUGUAGCGGUGAAAUGCGUAGAUAUCAGGAGGAACACCGGUGGCGAAGGCGGCCUGCUGGACUGCAACUGACGUUGAGGCCCGAAAGCGUGGGGAGCAAACAGGAUUAGAUACCCGGGUAGUC